UAAGAGCAGCUUUAAUCCAAAUUC
rnacentral:piRNA from 1 species